rnacentral:rRNA from 1 species
AUUGAACGCUGGCGGCAUGCCUUACACAUGCAAGUCGAACGGCAGCACGGACUUCGGUCUGGUGGCGAGUGGCGAACGGGUGAGUAAUGUAUCGGAACGUACCUUUCAGUGGGGGAUAACGUAGCGAAAGUUACGCUAAUACCGCAUAUUCUGUGAGCAGGAAAGCAGGGGAUCGCAAGACCUUGCGCUGAUUGAGCGGCCGAUAUCAGAUUAGCUAGUUGGUGGGGUAAAGGCCUACCAAGGCGACGAUCUGUAGCGGGUCUGAGAGGAUGAUCCGCCACACUGGAACUGAGACACGGUCCAGACUCCUACGGGAGGCAGCAGUGGGGAAUUUUGGACAAUGGGGGCAACCCUGAUCCAGCCAUGCCGCGUGAGUGAAGAAGGCCUUCGGGUUGUAAGACGUCUUUCGGUCCGGGUAACGGAAAGUACGCACAGGCGUAAUAACCCUCGUGUGGAUGACGGUACCGGAA